UGCCAGACUCCUACGGGAGGCAGCAGUGGGGGAUAUUGCACAAUGGGGGGAACCCUGAUGCAGCGACGCCGCGUGAGUGAAGAAGUACUUCGUUAUGUAAAGCUCUAUCAGCAGGGAAGAAUAAAUGACGGUACCUGAGUAAGAAGCCCCGGCUAACUACGUGCCAGCAGCCGCGGUAAUACGUAGGGGGCAAGCGUUAUCCGGAUUUACUGGGUGUAAAGGGAGCGUAGACGGCGAUGCAAGCCAGAUGUGAAAGCCCGCGGCUCAACUGCGGUAGUGCAUUUGGAACUGUAUGGCUGGAGUGCAGGAGAGGCAGGCGGAAUUCCUAGUGUAGCGGUGAAAUGCGUAGAUAUUAGGAGGAACACCAGUGGCGAAGGCGGCUUACUGGACUGUAACUGACGUUGAGGCUCGAAAGCGUGGGGAGCAAACAGGAUUAGAUACCCCAGUA
rnacentral:rRNA from 1 species